rnacentral:rRNA from 1 species
ACGCUGACAGAAUGCUUAACACAUGCAAGUCAACUUGAAUUUGGGUUUUUAACUUAGAUUUGGGUGGCGGACGGGUGAGUAACGCGUAAAGAACUUGCCUCACAGUUAGGGACAACAUUUAGAAAUGAAUGCUAAUACCUGAUAUUAUGAUUUUAAGGCAUCUUAGAAUUAUGAAAGCUAUAAGCACUGUGAGAGAGCUUUGCGUCCCAUUAGCUAGUUGGAGAGGUAACAGCUCACCAAGGCGAUGAUGGGUAGCCGGCCUGAGAGGGUGAACGGCCACAAGGGGACUGAGACACGGCCCUUACUCCUACGGGAGGCAGCAGUGGGGAAUAUUGGACAAUGGACCGAGAGUCUGAUCCAGCAAUUCUGUGUGCACGAUGAAGUUUUUCGGAAUGUAAAGUGCUUUCAGUUGGGAAGAAAAAAAUGACGGUACCAACAGAAGAAGUGACGGCUAAAUACGUGCCAGCAGCCGCGGUAAUACGUAUGUCACGAGCGUUAUCCGGAUUUAUUGGGCGUAAAGCGCGUCUAGGUGGUUAUGUAAGUCUGAUGUGAAAAUGCAGGGCUCAACUCUGUAUUGCGUUGGAAACUGUAUAACUAGAGUACUGGAGAGGUAAGCGGAACUACAAGUGUAGAGGUGAAAUUCGUAGAUAUUUGUAGGAAUGCCGAAGGGGAAGCCAGCUUACUGGACAGAUACUGACGCUAAAGCGCGAAAGCGUGGGUAGCAAACAGGAUUAGAUACCCUGGUAGUCCACGCUGUAAACGAUGAUUACUAGGUGUUGGGGGUCGAACCUCAGCGCCCAAGCAAACGCGAUAAGUAAUCCGCCUGGGGAGUACGUACGCAAGUAUGAAACUCAAAGGAAUUGACGGGGACCCGCACAAGCGGUGGAGCAUGUGGUUUAAUUCGACGCAA